AGGACGGGAAGGUGUCAAGGUU
rnacentral:miRNA from 15 species